GUCGAGUGCGCGUCCGUAGCAAUACGGAUGGCGCACGGCGCACGGGUGCGUAACACGUGGGCAAUCUGCCCUUCGAUGGGGGAUAACCCCGCGAAAGCGGGGCUAAUACCGCAUGACAUUCCGGGGACUCCGGUCCCUGGACUCAAAGGCCGCAAGGCCGUCGGAGGAGGAGCCCGCGCCCGAUUAGCUAGUUGGUGAGGUAACGGCUCACCAAGGCUUUGAUCGGUAGCCGGUCUGAGAGGAUGGCCGGCCACACUGGAACUGAGACACGGUCCAGACUCCUACGGGAGGCAGCAGUGGGGAAUAUUGCGCAAUGGGCGAAAGCCUGACGCAGCGACGCCGCGUGGGGGAUGAAGCUUCUCGGAGUGUAAACCCCUUUCGACCCGGACGAAUGACCCGCAAGGGUUUGACGGUACGGGUAUAAGAAGCCCCGGCUAACUACGUGCCAGCAGCCGCGGUAAUACGUAGGGGGCCAGCGUUGCUCGGAAUUACUGGGCGUAAAGGGUUCGUAGGUGGUGCGGCAAGUUGGAAGUGAAAUCUCUGGGCUUAACCCAGAGGCUGCUUUCAAAACUGCCGCGCUCGAGUGCGAGAGAGGCCAGUGGAAUUGCAGGUGUAGCGGUGAAAUGCGUAGAUAUCUGCAGGAACACCCGUGGCGAA
rnacentral:rRNA from 1 species